UCUUUGGUCUCCAGCAUCUCCUUCUGAAUCACUAUGUCAGCUUUGCAAAGAGAAGGGAGAGGAAGAAGUGAUCUGCAACAGCCAAAAAAGCUUGGUGGAGUGGAUGGAAGAUGAAUGACAGCAGUUGCAAUGCAGCCUUGGGGAACGGCUCCAGAGCUGUUCUUAACAACUCCUUUACCUCUAAGCCAGGUAA